GUGCUUGCUUUGGCAGCACAUAUACUAAAAUUGGAACGAUACAGAGAUUAGGAUGGCCCCUGUGCAAGGAUGACACGCCAAUUCGUGAAGCGUUGCAUAUUUUU
rnacentral:snRNA from 1 species